rfam:Xenopus laevis strain J chromosome 1L, whole genome shotgun sequence.
AGCACCCAAAACAGGGCUCUCUUUUGUGACUAAAUUAUGAUGAGAAAGUGCUUUAUGUUUUGGGCGUUC